GCCUCAUUAGUGGGAGGUUCCCGUCGCUGUAGAGCUGCAGCUUGUUGAAUCGGGGAAGUCUUGUUAUAUUCUCUCUCUCUCUCUCUCUCUCUCUCUCUCUCUGUCUGUUGCCUGGAUGUUGUUCGGGAAGAUAUCAACCUUUUAUGGGCGAGCGUCUCCCUUUUUGCUCCUCCGGGCGUACGUCUGCCUGUCAAACACAGACACGCACGUCUCAAUCCACCAGCCAGCCAGUGCCGGAGUCUCAUUUCGUAUCACAACAUCUGAGCAGGGAGGCAACAGCAGAAAUCCUCCAGCCGGCAGAGUGAAGAGACGCCGUUGAUCACGCCCCCCCCCCCCCCCCCCCCCCCGCCCGCACGCCCCUCUCCUGUCUCUGCCAUAACGCCGUUCUCUCUUUCACUAACACCAUUUCACACUCUUCUCCACUCACUCUUUCUUUGGGUCUUCCUUCUCUUUUGGGAGAGGGGUCUCCAGUCUUCCAGCUCAGGUGGGCAGCACGACAGCCAACUCCUUCAUUCUACAUCUCUCUCUCUCUCUCUCUGUUCCUUCUGCCUUCCCUCAUCACACACAUCCACACCCUCCACCUCCUCACCCGAGCCUCCUGAGCGCGCCGGAGAGAGAGAGAGAGAGACGCGCGUCAAAAGCGGCCAGGUGGGAGUGGAGCUCGGCGAGCGUGUUUGCGAGCGCGUGUUUCUGUGAACGUGGAGAGGAAGAGGAGGAGGAGGAGACGAGGAGGAGGAGGAGGAGGAGGCAGAGAGCAUCCAGCACAGUCCUACCCAGUCUCUCCUCUCAUCACAACCCACUCUGCGUGGAACAAUCCUCCCCUCGCCGGCUCUAGAUGGACAGCUCCCCAGGCGGCGUCUCACCGGUGAAGACAGCGGCCGCCGGCCGUCUCCGCUCCACGAGCCCCCACAUGCUGGAUUAAAAAGAGGAAAAGUGAGGAGAGGAACAGGGCGGGAUCUCCGAACAUGAGCGAGGAAGCGAAGGAGAAGGCAGGCGGCGGGAAAGCGGCUCAUCGCAAGAAGAAAGGCAAAAAGUCCGACAACAAUGCCAGUUACUUGCGAGCUGCCCGGGCGGAAACCUAGAAAAGGUCCUUGACUACGUCAAGGGUGGGGUUGAGAUCAACAUUUGCAAUCAG